ACAAAUGGACCAGUCCAAAAUGUUGACCCGGCCCAAAACACAAACAGAUAAAUAGGUAGCAGGGUUUCCUAAUUGAGCUUAGAGCUACGCUCCCUUCUACUUCACCCCUUUCAUUAUGUUCCCUUCUGUAAAUGUGCAAUUCAAUCUUCUUCAACUGUGUGUGCUUAACACCGUGCCAUCGAUGCUUCAGCUUGGAGCUUUUUCCAGCUUGCAUGAUCGAGAUCUCCAGCUUAUGGAUGCUACCAGUACUUUUUGGUGAUAACACAUUAGGUCUAGUCCACUGAUGCUUGUCUCGUCGUCCAAGUAUAGCUAGGAUGGAGAUUUUGGGAUGCUUGGACCCGUUAAUAUUUGGAUAGAUUCAAGUAACUCAGUCGCUUGAUAUGCAUCUGACCUUGUGACCCCCAAUCUGCUGAGAUUUUCUUUUUGUUGGCUGGUGUAGAUAGGCUAUGUAGCAUUUUCAUUUUUUUGUUUGCCUUUUCAGGUUGUACAUAUAGUGCAUGCGAAAAAACUUGUUGUAGCCCUUCUAGUCCCCUUACCCUUUUGUUGGCACUAGUCUCAAAUAUGUGCAUUGCUACUUGUCACUAUUAAGAAUCCUCCUGCCUAAGCUUGGUAAUUCAUUGAAUGAUGUGAAUGUGAAAUUCCCUUGUUGAA